rnacentral:rRNA from 1 species
CAGCCGCCGCGGGAAUACGAAGGGUGCAAGCGUUAAUCGGAAUUACUGGGCGUAAAGCGUGCGUAGGCGGUUUGUUAAGUCUGUUGUGAUAUCCCCGGGCUCAACCUGGGAAUGGCAAUGGAUACUGGCAAGCUAGAGUGUGUCAGAGGAUGGUGGAAUUCCCGGUGUAGCGGUGAAAUGCGUAGAGAUCGGGAGGAACAUCAGUGGCGAAGGCGGCCAUCUGGGACAACACUGACGCUGAGGCACGAAAGCGUGGGGAGCAAACAGGAUUAGAUACCCGCGUAGUCCCUGUCUCUUAUAC